GAUGGUUCAUUCAAAUUUCUGCCCUAUCAACUUUCGAUGGUAGGAUAGUGGCCUACCAUGGUUUUGACGGGUAACGGGGAAUUAGGGUUCUAUUCCGGAGAGGGAGCCUGAGAAACGGCUACCACAUCCAAGGAAGGCAGCAGGCGCGCAAAUUACCCAAUCCCAAUACGGGGAGGUAGUGACAAUAAAUACUGAUACAGGGCUCUUUUGGGUCUUGUAAUUGGAAUGAGAACAAUUUAAAUCCCUUAACGAGGAACAAUUGGAGGGCAAGUCUGGUGCCAGCAGCCGCGGUAAUUCCAGCUCCAAUAGCGUAUAUUAAAGUUGUUGCAGUUAAAAAGCUCGUAGUUGAACUUUGGGUCUGGCUGAUCUGUCCUCCUAAUCGAGCGCACGGAUUCGGUCGGACCUUUCCUUCUGGGGAACCCUAUGCCCUUCACUGGGCGUUAGUGGGGAACCAGGACUUUUACCUUGAAAAAAUUAGAGUGUUCAAAGCAGGCCUUUGCUCGAAUACAUUAGCAUGGAAUAAUAGAA
rnacentral:rRNA from 1 species